ensembl:processed_transcript
UGUGGGCGGAAGCAGGGGAUUCUAAGCUGGGCGCUGGUACCGAGGUAGACUCUGAGAAUGCAGCUUGUGUUGAGGGGUUUGGAGUUCAGUCCUGAGAAAUCCACAAGUCAGGUACUCUCUUUUGUCCUGCGUCCUUCGUUGCCGGUCCCCUCCCACGGAGAGUUGUUACCGUGAGUCCCUCGUGUGCCCCUGGCUGUCGCAGACGUGGUGGAGGUAUGAGGUCUGGAUUAUGGUAAAGAUUCUGAAGACAAAGAUUCCGCCCGGAACUUAUGUCCUCAGCUGGUAGCUCACAGGUUUCUGUAUCUAACUGUUUUGCUCCCGUCCUUUUGGUCUUGGGAACUGGAAUCUAUCUCUCUUAGGGUUAGAUGCUAACAGUAAACCACGACUACGUCAGAAGUCUGAGUUGAUCUUGGCUCUUAGAACUCUCCCACUUUCUUCAAAUAGGAUGGAUAGAUAGGUAGAUAGAUAGAUAGAUAGAUAGAUAGAUAGAUAGAUAGAUAAACUUUCUGCUGACCCUCUGGGUUUUACCUCCCAAUGACUAGAUCUUGAUGACCCAGUAAAAAACUUAAUCUUAGUGACAAUUUCACACUAUUAAAUAGGGAAUCAUUCCAGAAUUAUUCCCCUGGCAUUAGGUACAUGACAGAUAAGCAGUCAGACAGACAGGCAGAAGUUUAGACACACAUAUAUAAGCAAUGAGCCAAGCAGGUACUAGAAAAAGAUUCGGCACUUUGAAUUUGAAAGCAGAAAUUUCUCCUUAAACACACUUCAGAUGAAAAGUUGAUACUUGCACUGCAGGCAACUUGCAUUGUCCAGGCCUCUUCACUUCUUAAGCUAGACAUUUGCUGAGAGCACUGAUCUAGCACAGACUCAUACAAGCUCUGGAUGCAGUUUCAGUUUCUGCUAGUCCUCUGAGCCCAAAGCAUCAAUAUUUAUUAGUGCUUUUUGAAAGGUUACUGAUAUUUUUCCUCUGGCCGUUUCUGAUGGAGAUAGUUUUACUAUAUAAGUUUAAAGCAUCAUUUAGGGCUGGUGUAACAAAAUGCCAUAAUUCUGAAGGCUGAAAGCCCAAAGUCAAAUGCAGGAAGAUUUGAUUUCUUCUACCCCUACCCUGCCCCCUUAGCCUGGAGACUGCCGCCUUUCUCUGUACCCUCACGUUACUUUCCCUCACCCCAGUUCAGUUCAUCCUCCACGCAGCUAUGAUGACCACAACAGAUCUGUUGCAUCAUGACCUUCCCCUUCUUCCUCUAAUGGAUAUUUCUUUUUCUCAACAGCUCUGAAGACAAUAAGUUUAACCUUAUCUCUGUUUGCUAAGUCGGUUUGUUUCAACAGUCUACUUUUAUUGGCUCCUCGGACAAGAGUCUUUUUUGGUAAUUGAUCUUAGUUAACAUUUCAUGUUCAAGCCUGAAGACCUUGGCUGAUUUUUCUGCAUGAUUUGUGUUGUUUCCUGAUUCCCCUCUCACUGUUGUAAGCUGAUUUGUUUCCGUCUAAGUCUGCAUCCACUUCUCCCUGAGUUACCUGUUUCGUUUCUUUAGAGACAAGAAUACAGUUUUGUGCAGAAAGUCAUCCCCAACCUGCCUUUGCUGGUGCAGGGGAAUGGCAGUUAUGACUGUCAGUUAUACUACUUCCCCUACCUCAUGCCUUACCAUCUCUCACUGCAACAGGCAGCCACACACGCAAACAACUCCUGGACCAGCAAUUCCCAUCUCUGUUGGGCUGCUGUCUUGAAAUUAUCUGGGGAAACAAGUCCCCUUUGAUGUGUUUAUUAUAAAAAGAUAAAGAGAAAGGGGGUAUAUUCUAGGGGGGGGGUGAGGCAUAGGGGGAAGGGGUGUCUCAGUGGCUCCAUGCAGAGGCAUCCUUUUCCCCUAAGGAACCAGCUACAUAAGGGUAUAGUAUAGAAUAGAGUUUAUUCAAAGCAUGGGGAGGAGAGUUAAGAGGGUAGCAGAGAGAGAAGGAGAGGAAGAAAAGAGAAGUAGAGGCUGGCCCAUGGCCAUGAGUACUUGGGGAGAUGGGUAAUGGAAGGGAAUGGGGAACGGAAGAGCAAGAGAGAAGCAAGAGAUCAAGAGAACAAGAGAAGGAGGAGGGGACAAGCAGCCCCUUUUAUAGUGGGUCAAGCCUACCUGGCUGUUACCAGGUAACUGUGGGGUGGAGUUUAGAUAGAAUGCAAACACCUUUAUCAACACAUUUCCAUCCGCUCUCUCUGAAUUUUCUAGAAAUUAGUUUUACCCUUGUUUGAGAGAGAAGGAAAAAAUAAACUGUGUUUUGCUACUCUUAUAACAUUCAACACAUUAUACUUCCAAAACUUUCUGGAGGAGGCCAUUUCUACAUCCCAAACCAUUCUCCAGCAGGUACCAGUUGCAUCCUACAGUUUAUCUCAACUCCGACACUGUACAGAUGCAGUUAACAUCAGAUCCCACAAGUAGGGAAGCUCAGUGCAUGCCCAAGACUCCUGCAUCCCAGGUGUUCACAAAUCUCAAGUUGUAAAUGGGUCAUCAUCAGAGCUUCUGAGGGCUGGCUCUAAAUAAAAUUGUCAAAUCCA